rnacentral:rRNA from 1 species
UACAGAGGCCUCGAGCGUUAGGCGGAAUCACUGGGCUUAAAGCGUGUGUAGGCGGACUUCUAAGUACCUUGUGAAAUCCCACGGCUCACCCGUGGAACUGCUCGGUAUACUGGUCGUCUUGAGCCUUCUAGGGGCGAGUGGAACAAAUGGUGGAGCGGUGAAAUGCGUAGAUAUCAUUUGGAACGCCAAUGGUGAAAACAACUCGCUGGGGAAGUGCUGACGCUGAGACACGAAAGCCAGGGGAGCGAACGGG